rnacentral:rRNA from 1 species
GGGAGCCUGAGAAACGGCUACCACAUCCAAGGAAGGCAGCAGGCGCGCAAAUUACCCACUCCCGGCACGGGGAGGUAGUGACGUAAAAAUAACGAUACGGGACUCAUCCGAGGCCCCGUAAUCGGAAUGAGUACACUUUAAAUCCUUUAACAAGGAUCCAUUGGAGGGCAAGUCUGGUGCCAGCAGCCGCGGUAAUUCAAGCUCCAAUAGCGUAUAUUAAAGUUGUUGCGGUUAAAAAGCUCGUAGUUGAAUCUGUGUGCCACGCUGUCGGUUCAUCGCUCGCGAUGUUUAACUGACAUGAUUGUGGGACGUCCUACCGGUGGUCUUAGCCUCACUCGUGAGGCGGUCCAACUAAUAUCCCAUCGCGGUGCUCUUAAUUGAGUGUCGGGGUGGGCCGGUACGUUUACUUUGAACAAAUUAUAGUGCUUAAAGCAGGCUAUCUUUGCCUGAAUACUGUGUGCAUGGAAUAAUGGAAUAGGACCUCGGUUCUAUUUUGUUGGUUUUCGGAGCCCCGAGGUAAUGAUUAAUAGGGACAGAUGGGGGCAUUCGUAUUGCG